rnacentral:rRNA from 1 species
GUGCACCAGUCGCGAAUCCUCCGCAAUACACGGAAAGUGUGACGGGGCCAUCCCGAGUGCCGUCCGCUGAGGACGGCUUUUCCCCAGUGUACACAGCUGGGGGAAUAAGGAGAGGGCAAGCCUGGUGUCAGCCGCCGCGGUAAGUACCAGCUCGUACCGAGUGGUGGGGACGCUUAUUGGGCCUAAAAGCAAGUCCGUAGCCGGCUGGGCAAGUCCUCCGUUAAAUCCAACGAUUCAAUCGUU